AAGCAUCGGCCUUAACUCCGUGCCAGCAGCCGCGGUAAUACGGAGGAUGCAAGCGUUAUCCGGAUUUAUUGGGUUUAAAGGGUGUGCAGGCGGAAUGAUAAGUCAGUGGUGAAAUCCUACGGCUCAACCGUAGAAUUGCCAUUGAUACUGUUAUUCUUGAGUACAGUUGAAGUGGGCGGAAUGUGUCAUGUAGCGGUGAAAUGCAUAGAUAUGACACAGAACACCGAUAGCGAAGGCAGCUCACUAAGCUGUGACUGACGCUCAUGCACGAAAGCGUGGGGAGCAAACAGGAUUAGAUACCCUGGUAGUCCACGCUGUAAACGAUGAUCACUCGCUGUUGGCGAUAUACAGUCAGCGGCUAAGCGAAAGUAUUAAGUGAUCCACCUGGGGAGUACGAUCGCAAGGUUGAAACUCAAAGGAAUUGACGGGGGCCCGCACAAGCGGAGGAGCAUGUGGUUUAAUUCGAUGAUACGCGAGGAACCUUACCUGGGCUUAAAUGUUGGACGAUCGUUCCGGAAACGGGACUUUCCUUUUGGACGUCCAGCAAGGUGCUGCAUGGUUGUCGUCAGCUCGUGCCGUGAGGUGUCGGGUUAAGUCCCAUAACGAGCGCAACCCCUAUUCUUAGUUGCCAUCAGGUAAUGCUGGGGACUCUAAGAAAACUGCCUACGCAAGUAGUGAGGAAGGUGGGGAUGACGUCAAAUCAGCACGGCCCUUAUGUCCAGGGCUACACACGUGCUACAAUGGUCGGUACAGAGGGCAGCUAUAUGGUGACAUAGUGCUAAUCUCGAAAAUCGGUCUCAGUUCGGAUCGAAGUCUGCAACUCGACUUCGUGAAGCUGGAUUCGCUAGUAAUCGCGCAUCAGCCAUGGCGCGGUGAANCGUUCCCGGGCCUUGUACACACCGCCCGUCAAGCCAUGGAAGUUGGGGGUACCUAAAGUCCGUUACCGCAAGGAGCGGCCUAGGGUAAACCAAU
rnacentral:rRNA from 1 species